UACGAAGGGUGCAAGCGUUAAUCGGAAUUACUGGGCGUAAAGCGUGCGCAGGCGGCUUUGCAAGACAGAUGUGAAAUCCCCGGGCUUAACCUGGGAACUGCAUUUGGGACUGCAAGGCUGGAGUGUGGCAGAGGAGACUGGAAUUCCCGGUGUAGCAGUGAAAUGCGUAGAUAUCGGGAGGAAUACCGAUGGCGAAGGCAGGUCUCUGGGCAUUACCUGACGCUGAGGAGCGAAAGUGUGGGGAGCGAACAGG
rnacentral:rRNA from 1 species